rnacentral:lncRNA from 1 species
AGAGGAAAAGGAUUGCAUCGAGGUGACGUUAGAUCAUUUCAUUGUAGGGGUGGCUCAUAGUGUGAAAAUAGUAGAGGGUUAGACAGUUUCUUCCUAUCUUCCUUGGCCUACUGGGUAGAGAUGAGUCUCUCUAAAAUCUCGAAAAGUCGAUCGAUAUCCUCUCCAAGUGACUUGUCUUGGGCUGCCCUGUUCGAUAAGGGACUUCAUCUCUUCGUGUCUUUGUACUUAUUUUUCACAGAGAAAGGUUGAGCGAUAACUCGUAUUUGAUGGUUUUAAAUCUUUGUGUAAGGAAUGGUUUUGAAGAGUUUAACUCUGAUACCAACUGUUAUGACUUAGAACUUAAAAGAAAAUAAAUUCAUAAAUUAAAUGCUGAAGCGAAACAAUAGAGUUUAGAGUUUACAUUCCUUACACAAUAAUUUAGAAUGUCCAAUAGGAUUACGAGAAUGACCAUUGUAAAAGAAAUUACGAAAAUCAAGGAAAUAAAUAAAAACUAAUAACUGAGCAUUUUAUAACGAUCUUCACUAGCUUUUGAAGGGAGUCCGGGUGGUGAACUAUUCACAACUCUCUUAUUGAUCGAGAUAUGAGUUUUGGUGCUCUUGAUAUGAAAUAGUUAAUGAAAGGGUGAGCUACACUAGCCCAGUAAGAAUAUUACACUACUCACCAAUACAGAAAUUGAAGGUUGUUAAAAAUCAUAAAAACAACAAAUGAACUUCUUGAUUUAAGUAAAUUCAUUUUAUAAGGAAAAACUAUUUAUUGCAUAUAUUUACUGUUACGAAAUUUUCAAAAU